CUUGUCGGCGAGUGGCGAACGGGUGAGUAAUGCAUCGGAACGUAUCGAGUAAUGGGGGAUAACCAUCCGAAAGGAUGGCUAAUACCGCAUACGCUCUAAUGAGGAAAGCGGGGGACCAUUAGGCCUCGCGUUAUUCGAACGGCCGAUGUCAGAUUAGCUAGUUGGUAGGGUAAAGGCCUACCAAGGCGAUGAUCUGUAGCGGGUCUGAGAGGAUGAUCCGCCACACUGGGACUGAGACACGGCCCAG
rnacentral:rRNA from 1 species